CUUGUCACAAACUUGACCCAUAUCUUAAACGUGCAUAAUUUUUAAUCCAAUUCCAUUUAUGAGAUCACUUAUUUUUGUCCAAACCUCUUAUAUUUCUAGUAGACUUUCAGACUUGAAUGAAUAGUUUAGCCCUUGAAUAAGAUGCACGGUGGUAUCUUAUAUAAACAUUAUAGAUUUCUUCAAUAAUUUAAUUAAAUUGGUACUCGUGAAAGCAAAAACAAGAAUGUAAAUAUACGAGAAAUAUAAUGAUGCGAGGGACACCCAAAUCCUACUCGUCACAUAUAAAUAAUGAAAAUAUGAAUUAAGGAUUUACAAAAUGGUACACGUUAAUAAAUAGGAAUUACAAUAUAACGAGACAAGAUAAAAGAUUGUUUGGUCCAACUUUGUUUCAUUUCUUGCAUAUAUAUAAUAUAAAUAUAUAAUAUAUUAAUGUGUAUGAUUUUAGAAUAUAUAAUUUAUAUAUAGAUAAAAAAAACAGUUAUUUUGAAAUUCCAUUAAAGCCCAAAAAAACCCUAUACAACUAUCCAUCUCCACUGUACACAAUAAGAAAGUUUAAAGUGAGGGAUAACAUCCCAGUUGAGAUAAAAGCAGAUGGGAUACAUUGAUAUAGACAGGUUCUGUUGAGAUAUACACCUUGCAACUAUACCAUUACAAGUAAAUUUUAACAUUGCUUCAAGUAUACCAUAUUCCAUCUUCUUUAUUGAAGCAAGCUGUUCUGAACAAGACAUCAACUAUUAUUGGUGGCAUAAAAUACCACCGACCACCAACAAAACUAUGUCCUGCCUUGUAUUUCCACUUGAAAACUUCAUGUUUCUUUCUUCACCAAUAAAUGAAGCUCAAUGCUUCCUGCUCUAAAAAUAGAGGGAUUUUGUCGAUUGAGUCUCAGUUUAAUUAACAUGAGCAUUGUUAUCAAUGUAGGAGGACAUGAGUUUGAGUGAUUUGAAGCGCGUUAUCUUCUUAUUUAUGGGUUAGAGAGGAGCUAUCGGUAGUUCUAGAUAUUGUGUAAAAAAUAACAGAUAUGAUCAGAACCUAUAAUGAGAUUAUUCAAAAAAUAAUAAUAGAAAGAUUUCAUAAACUUGGUUGAGUUGGAUGUAUGGUUAUUUUGAUUUGAAAAUUUUGAUUAAGGCUAUAUAUAUUUGUAAAUGAUUAAUCCUAAGUUUAUUUAGGGUUUCUCAUAUUUUUAUUUUUAUUCUUUUAAAAUAUAAUUAUUUUUAAUUAAUAUAUAGUAAUUAUUUACUUUUUACUACCAUUAUAUAUAUUGUAUUUUAUUAAAAUUUUUAACAUAAAUUACUUAACAUAUUUUUAAAUAUUUUUAUUUAAUCUCAUAUGAUAUAAAUUCCGUAAUAUAUAAAGGAAAAACAUAUUCUAAAUUUGAAAAUGGGUAGCUUGGGUUUUGAAUAUUGAAACCCGAUCCCGGCUCGUAUUAUAAACAAACCUAAUUUUUUUACACAAACUCUCUCAAAAUUUCAAGGUUCGAGUUGGGUGGAUAGUUCAAUACUUGAACAUAUCUACUACAAAAUGUGGGUCAUGGUUCUUUUAAAUUAGGUUAAAUUUUGCUACUGAUCUUUAUGUUAUGUGUAAGUUGUAGAUUUAGUCUUUGCACUUUAAUUUUGUUAUUUUUCUAGUCCUUACCAGCCUAACCAAAUAGUAGUUGUUAGAUUUUUUUAAGUGUAAAAAUAUUAUCACAUGUGAAAUGUCAUAACAGUUUUUUGUUUUUACAUAUUACUCACAAAAAAUCAACUAAUAAAUUUAAUAAUUAUUAUUUGUGUCAAAAUUAAAAUUUUAAAAUUUAAAAAGAAUUGCCAUUGUUUAAUUCAGAACAAAUUUUAAAAUUAAAAAAAAAAAACUAAAAUUCAUUUAGGUUCGGUUAACUCAUUUUGGCGACAAAUUCAUUUCAGUUUAUUUAAUUCUAGUGACUUAUUUGGUUUAGUAGAUUAUUCAUUAUAUAAAAAUCAAAUCGAUUAAACUAAUCAGAUAUACAUCUUUAAUGGUCAUUGAGAUGUUAACUAACGACGUUCACCAUUACUCCGACAUAAUUAAAAUACAUUAAAUAUAUUUCAUAUAUAAAAUGAGCUUUAUUUUUAUUAUCCAUAUCAAAGUUCUUUUUAUUAAAUUAUUUUAAGUAAUACUUUUUUUAUUGGUAAUAUUUUUAGAAUUAGACCAAUAGUUAGAUCUGUUCGAUCACUAAUUUACUGGUUUGAUUAAUUUAAUAAAUAAAUUCAUAAAAAAUUAAAAAUAAAAUACUUCUUUUAAUCAAUUUUUUAGUCGAUCAAUCAAUUCAUAAUUCAACUGGUCGACUAUCAUUCUCUAAAUUAAUACUUUGAUUGAUUCUCAAUUUAACCAAUAUAUAUAUAUUAAUUUGAAACUGUUGGUGUUGGAUAGUAAAGUAGCAUUGGCUAUAGCAAUGGUGUCAAAAGGGGGCACUUAGGAUUCGAGGGUGUCGAACCAUAACUGUGACUGGUCAGAAAUUGCCUGUGACCCUUUCCAUGACUCAAUGAGGUCAUUCCAUCAAUUCAAACCUCGAAAUCAUUAUAGUUAUCUGAGGCUAUCUAUAUCUGAAUUUCUAUUGGUUCAAAACAUUAUGGAACUUUGAUUUCUAACGUCUACUUGGCACAUGCAACACCACGUAUCAGUGUUGGAUAAUUUUGGGGGUUGAACGGUGAAUUUUGUAUUCAAAAAAAAAUCUCCAGUGCUGUUUGUUGAACCAAUGAGAUUGUGCCACUCGUGAAUCACAUCGGAUAACCCCUAUCAUAUCUACUUGGAACAGUCGCAACUACCUGUUUCAAAUUCAGGACCACUUUGGCUUUGCGUUUCAUUGCAUGGGUCUGAAAUUCUUGUUACGAGAAAAAGCUGUGUAAUAAAUAAUGUUAAUGUUUAUGGAAAGGAUUAUGUUUAUGUUUCAUCUUGUUUCUUGAUGAAGCCUAAUGAAUCAUAUAGUUUUCGACACUGAUAAUUAGACUACUCGUGGGUAUUUUUAGAAACUAUUAAGUCAAUUACAUAAUUAAAUUUUUGGGUUUUUAAAAAUAAAUUUCAAGUUUUCUUUAUAAGGGUUAAAAGGACGAGACUUGGUAUAAACUAGACCAACACCACUGACUAGUUGACAUCAAUUUAAAGUAUUUUGAUAGUGCCGCAAAACAAAUUAAGCCAGAUUUUUAUUCGUAAGAUAUUUUACAUUUAUGUAUUAUCAACCACUCAAAUCCUGUAAUUUGUAUUUUUAUGCUGCCAUGAUUUCAGCAUCAAUAAACUUCACCAAAAGAAAGGAAAAUCUAUUUCAUAUGGCUCAAAGAAACUUCUUUCUAUGAAAACUCCAUCUAUUUUUCCAUGAAAAUGAAAAGGAAGGGAGAGAGAAAAUCAACAUCAAGGGAGUUGUUUAAUUUAUCAAGUAAUAUUUGUGUGUAUUAAUUAUAAUCACGAAAAUAUUGAUUGAAUCACAAGUGAAGAUUUUAUAUUUAAUUUAUAAUUGACAAAAUUUUAAACUUUAUUUUUGAAUUAUUUUUCAUACAAAACAAUCCAUUUAACUGUUGUAGCAUUGCUUCAUUGUUCUAAACAAAACAAACAAAAAGGUUUCGAAAUUUUUCAACAGUCGAAUUUCCGUCACUAUGGUGGCCAAGCCUAUGAUCCUUAAAAAAUAUUGGUAGCCUGUUAAGUGAAAUUUUGUGGAUUAAAGAUUGCCAAGUGGACAUGCAUGGCCAACAUCAAAAUCUUGGAAGCUCCAAUGAAAUGAAAGAUAGAGAUAUUACGUAGAUAAGGAACCUUACUCUCACCUUCCUAUAUAAUAAACGCAUCGGAUUGCCCCUUCAAUCACUCACCCAUCACCAACAAAAUCAACUGCUUCACAAUGGCCUCUACAACCAUGGCUCUUUCUUCCCCAUCAUUCGCCGGUAAGGCAGUGAAGUUCUCCCCUUCCACCCCUGAAAUCCAGGGAACUGGCCGUGUUUCCAUGAGGAAAACCACCAAGCCUGUUCCUUCUGGUAGCCCAUGGUACGGUCCUGACCGAGUUUUGUACUUGGGUCCACUUUCCGGUGAGCCACCAUCUUACUUGACCGGUGAGUUCCCUGGUGACUAUGGUUGGGACACUGCUGGACUCUCAGCUGAUCCCGAGACCUUUGCUAGGAACCGUGAGCUCGAAGUCAUUCACUGCAGAUGGGCCAUGUUGGGAGCUCUUGGGUGUGUUUUCCCUGAGCUGUUGGCUAGGAACGGUGUCAAGUUCGGUGAAGCUGUAUGGUUCAAGGCCGGGUCUCAAAUCUUCAGUGAGGGUGGACUUGACUACUUGGGUAACCCAAGCUUGAUCCAUGCUCAAAGCAUUUUGGCCAUCUGGGCUUGCCAAGUUAUCUUGAUGGGAGCCGUCGAGGGCUACCGUAUUGCCGGUGGACCACUCGGUGAAGUGACUGACCCAUUGUACCCAGGUGGCAGCUUUGACCCAUUGGGUCUUGCUGAUGACCCAGAGGCAUUCGCUGAGCUCAAGGUGAAAGAGAUCAAGAACGGUAGGUUGGCUAUGUUCUCAAUGUUCGGGUUCUUCGUUCAGGCCAUCGUGACCGGAAAGGGACCAUUGGAGAACUUGGCUGACCACCUUGCUGACCCAGUCAACAACAAUGCUUGGGCCUAUGCCACCAACUUUGUCCCCGGAAAGUGAACUUAGAGAGUGAGAAGGGAUUUGUCUUGUUUAUGUUUUUAUUUGUUGGUGUGAAUUUAAAUUUGUUGCACAAUCAAUGAAAGUAUAAUGUGAAUUUUGUGUGCUCAAUUUUUUUGACUGUUCCAAGUCCAUUUGUUUCAAAAAUGAAAAUGGUAAAAACAGGUGAAGCACAUGACGCUAUAGACAAAACGAAAAAUAAAACUGUAAAUUUCGACAAAUUAAGUAUAAAUAUAUUCCCGAAUAAACUUCUCAGCGUUCUAUUUAGUAUCUUG
rnacentral:lncRNA from 1 species